AAAGAGACAAGAAAUCCCAAGGAAUGCUCAGCGAAGGCCGCCUAUAAUCUCCACGUCAGCUUUGGGGAGCAGAUCAGGAUGGCUGCACCAUCAAGAGAGACUGGGCGACGCUUAAGGCAUGUAUUGCAGGAGGGACCUGAGGCAACCCGAUAUCCGGACUCUUUCUCACUCUUUGGCAGCCAUCCGGGCUUGGGAGUGUUUUGUGCCGGGGACCAAUUUCCCAUUGACUGCAUUCCCCCACCCCCCACCGGAUUCCCAGUUGGGCAGGAGGGGGGAUUUCUGCAUGGCAUCUCUCUCCCUCAUCUGCCGCACUCGGCUCCCUGUUUCAUACGCUGGGGAAAAGGCGCGAUGGCUUCUCCUCGUCGUCGCGCCCAGUUUUUCCUUGACAGGCGCUCUCGCCGCUACUCAAAGCCAGAAUGGCGGCGGCUGCUUCUUUGGUCUGCUCAGCUGUUGUCCCAUAAUUCAUUCCCCCCAAACACAAUAUGCUGCUUGUGUGCUACUUUUGUCUGAAAGAUUUAAUAAAUACAGGGUUUUUUUGGGGGGGGGCGUUCCUUUGGGAUUGCUUGUUUCAAGCACGCACACACAACACCGCCCCAGACUCGAGCCCCUGGAACUUGCCAAGUGGUUUCAGGCACCUCUAAAUAUCUUCUCGCCACCCGAAUCAAUCCAUCUGCUGAGCAGCCGCGGCCUCUGCCUGGCACGGGAGCGUGGAGCGCCCGCCCCGUCGCAGUUGCUCUUCUUUGGCCCGACACCUUUGUUUAUUAGGAAGGAAACGCGGCCCUUGCCCAAUUAAUGCAUCCUCCAGUCGCCCAUAAUAUGCCUGCCCCGCCCCCGCCCCCGAUAACCGAGAGGGGAUGUUUGCAUUUAAGAAGAUGGCAACGAGAAAACUGAGGCUCGGUUUCCUACACUUUCAAUUCCAAAUCAAUUCUCGCCCAAUCCUGGAGAAUUAACACUCUGUUAAUGUUGCAAUGUCACAAUCUGUCUCAGGAUGUCACCUUCUUUCACCUUGUAAAAGAAAGCUCACAUUCUGGCUGCAUUUUGGAUGAAAUUAUCUAAACCGAGUUGUGUUAAUCCAGGAUAAUAAUAGUAAUAAUAAUAUCAUCAUCCAAUGUGUUGUUUGGGGAUUGUAUGACAGGAAAACAAUGCGGGUUUAUGUUCCCUUAAUUAUAGAAAAUUCAGUGUGUUAGAAAGAUGGGCAUGACUUAAUUUAUUCUGGUCUGGGGAAAUUUUCAGCUGUUAAAAUGAGCAGCUUACACCCAAAAUCAGUUUUCUGCAGCAAAAUAUUCCAGUUGUUGGAACAAGAAGCAAAAUUAAGGGAUAGCAAUGUGCACUCCUUUGAUAUAUAUAUAUAUAUUUGGGGGGGGGCGUGUCCAAGCAGUGUGCAAACACAGAAAGGAUGUGGUUAACGGAAUACAGUAUAUGAAUUCAGAACAAAGCUUUGUUAUGUUAUUGUUGUCUCAAGGCUACUUACAGUAAAAUGGAAACAAAACCCUUUUUUUUAAAGCGCAGUAAACAACAAAGCACUAAAACGGGGUCAUACACCACUUCUCAAGAUAAUAAGAAAAAGCCUACCACCCUCUAACAAUAUCAGCAUGAUUGCCACUAUAAGUUAACCAGCAGUAGUAACCUCCAAACAGCAGAGAAAAUUAACAAUCAAAUGCCUAGGGGGAAAGGAAAGCCUUUGCCUGUCACUGUUAUUGUAGAUAUCAGGUGACUCUGUUUUGGGAGAGCGUUCCUUAAAGAGGGACCACCAUCGAAAAGGCUGUCUCUUAGGCCAGUGUUUCCCAACCUUUUUUGGGCAAAGGCACACUUGUUUCAUGAAAAAAAUCUUGAGGCACACCACCAUUACAGCCCCGUGAUGUCAGCGCGCAGCGUCACGCCGGGAGGGACGCACGAAAGUGUAAGUUUCAAUUUUUUCCCCUCCCCCUUGCCUUCCUUCUGUGCCAACCGCCAAAAAGCCAAGAAAAAAGCCAAGACUUUAGGGCAGCAGGUCGACACGGAAGAAGCUCCUACCUAAGGACAGGUGCGACGGCCGUGUCCUCUUCUGCCACACUUGGCAGCCCUGCCUCACGGUCGUGACUCCCACCCUGAUUUCUCGCCGCAGGUCGAGCGGCACAGGCAGCCCAAUGUGUCCAGCCCAGACACAAGCCCCGCUUCCCCACUCUAGAUCCUGAAUGCGACCAAGUGCUCUGGACUCCCGAGCAGGGUGGGAAAGAGGACUCGCAUCUGGUAGCCUCCAGGCUCCUCGCCUGCUCGAGGGAUGGCAUUGCAGGCAAGCUGCCGGCCGUCGCCAUCGCCGCCCCCUCAUGCGAGUGGACCUGCCCGGAGUGGUGGGCCGGGGGAGGCUCGCUCUCUGUGGGGAUGUGGCCCACAUGCGUGGCCCCGCUUCCUCCUGCCCAGGGCUGAGCUCCUUACCCGCGAUCUCGGUCUCGCGCACACGGAUCCCACUUAUUCUGAAGCUCGCACCACCAGCCCCGUCUUGCGAUGCACGGUUUCCCAUAGGAAUGCAUUGAAAAUCAAUUAAUGCGUUCCUAGGGAAACCGCCUUCAGACCAGGUCCGGGGACAGUCUGUCCCCCGACCACUUCUGAAGGCUGGGGGGGGGGACAAGGGCUUUUCUUCCCACCCCCAGCAUUUUAAAAAACCCCGGGACAGCGGAGAACUUCUCCGCUGUCCGGGGCAAUCUUAAAAUGCUGGCGGGCGGCAUUUUAAAAUCGCCCGGGACAGCGGAGGACUUCUCCGCUGUCCGGGGCGAUUUAAAAGCCCCUGGGAAGGCAGGCAGGGGGGAC
ensembl:lncRNA